AUUGAACGCUGGCGGCAGGCCUAACACAUGCAAGUCGAACGGAGUGGCGGACGGGUGAGUAAUGUCUGGGAAACUGCCUGGUAUUGGGGGAUAACGUCCGGAAACGGGCGCUAAUACCGCAUACUAUCAGAUGAGCCUAGGACGGAUUAGCUAGUUGGUGGGGUAAAGGCCUACCAAGGCGACGAUCCGUAACUGGUCUGAGAGGAUGAUCAGUCACACUGGAACUGAGAUACGUUCCAGACUCCUACGGUAGGCAGCAGUGGGGAAUAUUGGACAAUGGGCGAAAGCCUGAUCCAGCCAUGCCGCGUGUGUGAAGAAGGUCUUCUGAUUGUAAAGCACUUUAAGUUGGGAGGCGUUACCAACAGAAUAAGCACCGGCUAACUUCGUGCCAGCAGCCGCUGUAAUAC
rnacentral:rRNA from 1 species